GUUUUAAUAGUUUUUAAAAAAUAUCGAUCUUGUAAAUCGAAGAAAGAGCAAUCUUUAAAACU
rnacentral:tRNA from 1 species